UCAUUAAAGGCUUGAAUCAAC
ensembl:piRNA 21ur-4765 ncRNA